rnacentral:rRNA from 1 species
UACGGAGGGUGCGAGCGUUGUUCGGAAUCACUGGGCGUAAAGCGCGUGUAGGCGGCCCGCUAAGUCUGAUGUGAAAGCCCGAGGCUCACCCUCGGAAGUGCAUUGGAAACUGGCGGACUGGAGUCCCGGAGAGGAGGGUGGAAUUCCUGGUGUAGCGGUGAAAUGCGUAGAUAUCAGGAGGAACACCGAUGGCGAAGGCAGGUCUCUGGGCCAUUACUGACACUGAGAAGCGAAAGCAUGGGGAGCGAACAGG